AUUGAACGCUGGCGGCAUGCCUUACACAUGCAAGUCGAACGGCAGCACGGGUGCUUGCACCUGGUGGCGAGUGGCGAACGGGUGAGUAAUAUAUCGGAACGUACCUUAUUGUGGGGGAUAACGCAGCGAAAGCUGUGCUAAUACCGCAUAAUCCCUAAGGGGGAACGCGGGGGACCGUAAGGCCUCGCGCAAUUAGAGCGGCCGAUACCUGAUUAGCUAGUUGGUGAGGUAAAGGCUCACCAAGGCAACGAUCAGUAGCUGGUCUGAGAGGACGAUCAGCCACACUGGGACUGAGACACGGCCCAGACUCCUACGGGAGGCAGCAGUGGAGAAUUUUGGACAAUGGGGGCAACCCUGAUCCAGCAAUGCCGCGUGAGUGAAGAAGGCCUUCGGGUUGUAAAGCUCUUUUGUCAGGGAAGAAACAGCAGCUCUAACACAGUUUGCGAAUGACGGUACCUGAAGAAUAAGCACCGGCUAACUACGUGCCAGCAGCCGCGGUGA
rnacentral:rRNA from 1 species